rnacentral:lncRNA from 1 species
UUUGGGCCGAGGCCGGUAGUAGGAGGGCCUGGCGCUCGAUUCCUCUGCUUCUGCUUCUGCGUGGAGAGGGAGGACCAAUUCCUCGCGCCGCCGCCGCCGCCGUGACGGACACAUCUUCGACGGCCCCCGCGCUCCACCAGGGGGGUAGUUUCCGCCAGGUCUGCUUCACUGUCUCCUCUGCGGCGUCGUUUGUUCCAUCGGGCGAUUCGCGUCGUCCGCGGGCUCUGCUCUCUCCCGGCCUCCCCGGAAUCGCUCUCUGCCCCCGUCAUGCGGUCGCAGCUCGAGAGUGAUGGGGGGGGGGGGGGGGGGGGUCUCCCUGCUGCUAGCCUGCUAGUGAAGUGCCUGCUGUGAUACUACUGAUCAUGCCUACCGGUAGGUACCAGAAUUGGCAGAUUUCUCAAUACUUUUUUCCUUCACCAGUUUAAAUUGUGUGGUUAAUACUAGAUGACGAAGUAGUACCCUAUAUAAUAAUUCAUUGAUUCAUUCCACACGACAGAAAAGUAAACGAGACAGAUAGAAGAGCUCAAUACUGAAUUUUAAUUAUUUGUUACAAACUGGCAUAGUUAUCAGACAUUAUUACACACAUAAAUAUUCACUAGUAAGACUGAAGAGGAGAAAAUGACAUAUCACAAGCUCAAACAAGAAAAAUGUACUAGUAGCAUGUGCGACAUAAAAGAAAUAAUCCUUUGGCUUAACCAUGCAGUGCUGAAAAUUCUUCUUUGAUUGCAGCGACUUCCUUGUAAACGCUUUGCAUUGUCGGCCGAUCUUUAGGUGCCACUGCAGAGCACAAGAGGCCAAGCUUAACCAGCUUCGUGACACAGUUCAGCAU